rnacentral:tRNA from 1 species
UUGUACAGAAGUAAAAAUUUACAAUUAAUUUCGACUUAAUCUUUAAGACCCUGCUAGCUCUUCGUACAAU